UGCAGUCGACGAUGACUCUCUAGCUUGCUAGAGAAGAUUAGUGGCGGACGGGUGAGUAACAUUUAGGAAUCUGCCUAGUAGUGGGGGAUAGCUCGGGGAAACUCGAAUUAAUACCGCAUACGACCUACGGGUGAAAGGGGGCGCAAGCUCUUGCUAUUAGAUGAGCCUAAAUCAGAUUAGCUAGUUGGUGGGGUAAAGGCCCACCAAGGCGACGAUCUGUAACUGGUCUGAGAGGAUGAUCAGUCACACCGGAACUGAGACACGGUCCGGACUCCUACGGGAGGCAGCAGUGGGGAAUAUUGGACAAUGGGGGCAACCCUGAUCCAGCCAUGCCGCGUGUGUGAAGAAGGCCUUUUGGUUGUAAAGCACUUUAAGCAGGGAGGAGAGGCUAAUGGUUAAUACCCAUUAGAUUAGACGUUACCUGCAGAAUAAGCACCGGCUAACUCUGUGCCAGCAGCCGCGGUAAUACAGAGGGUGCGAGCGUUAAUCGGAAUUACUGGGCGUAAAGCGAGUGUAGGUGGCUCAUUAAGUCACAUGUGAAAUCCCCGGGCUUAACCUGGGAACUGCAUGUGAUACUGGUGGUGCUAGAAUAUGUGAGAGGGAAGUAGAAUUCCAGGUGUAGCGGUGAAAUGCGUAGAGAUCUGGAGGAAUACCGAUGGCGAAGGCAGCUUCCUGGCAUAAUAUUGACACUGAGAUUCGAAAGCGUGGGUAGCAAACAGGAUUAGAUACCCUGGUAGUCCACGCCGUAAACGAUGUCUACUAGCCG
rnacentral:rRNA from 1 species